AAUAGAUACCCAGGUAGUCCACGCCGUAAACGAUGAGUGCUAAGUGUUAGGGGGUUUCCGCCCCUUAGUGCUGCAGCUAACGCAUUAAGCACUCCGCCUGGGGAGUACGGUCGCAAGACUGAAACUCAAAGGAAUUGACGGGGGCCCGCACAAGCGGUGGAGCAUGUGGUUUAAUUCGAAGCAACGCGAAGAACCUUACCAGGUCUUGACAUCCCAUUGACCGCUAUGGAGACAUAGCUUUCCCUUCGGGGACAGUGGUGACAGGUGGUGCAUGGUUGUCGUCAGCUCGUGUCGUGAGAUGUUGGGUUAAGUCCCGCAACGAGCGCAACCCUUGUUCUUAGUUGCCAUCAUUUAGUUGGGCACUCUAAGGAGACUGCCGGUGACAAACCGGAGGAAGGCGGGGAUGACGUCAAAUCAUCAUGCCCCUUAUGACCUGGGCUACACACGUGCUACAAUGGACGGUACAAACGGUUGCCAACCGCGAGGGGAGCUAAGUCCGAUAAACCGUUCUCUAGUUACGGAUUGUAGGCUGCAACUCGCUAC
rnacentral:rRNA from 1 species